rnacentral:tRNA from 1 species
UUAAAAUCCGUCGACUUUAGAAAUCGUGAGG